GACGAAGGGGGCUAGCGUUGUUCGGAAUUACUGGGCGUAAAGCGAGCGUAGGUGGUUGUCCAAGUUGGAUGUGAAAGCCUUGAGCUCAACUCAAGAAAUGCAUUCAGGACUGGGCGGCUAGAGGACCGGAGAGGAUAGUGGAAUUCCCAGUGUAGUGGUGAAAUACGUAGAUAUCGGGAGGAACACCGGUGGCGAAGGCGGCGACCUGGGUAGAUACUGACGCUGAGGAGCGAAAGUGUGGGGAGCGAACAGG
rnacentral:rRNA from 1 species